GAAGUGUUGAUCUAUCCACACAGCGGUGCUAGACUAGGCUAAAUGACCUAAUAUAUCACUUCUUUCUCUCUCUGACUUGUUGCAAACACCUACGCUCAUCAGGAAACUUCAGCUAAUCAUCCCCUUCAAGAUGGGAGUGGGAGCUGGAUGUGGGAAUUCUUACUCAGAGCUGCAUUCCUCUGGAACUUGCUUCUCCUGGAUCUUUAUCUGACCUUUAGCUCAGAAAAUGUUCCUGGGUGCCUGAGGGAAGGCCACCUUCAUCCAAGUCUGUCGAGGUCCAGAGGCUGUACGCCCACGUCAGACCUUCCUUUGCACAUCCCAAAAAAGAGCAAUCAAGAAGUGACCAUCCCAGGCUGUGGGAUGAACUUCUCUAACGCACAGCUCCAAAGCACUUUGUACUGCCCAGUGGCUGCCUCCGACCCCUGGGCCCUUCACAGUUCAUGCUGUCACCACUGCAGUGUCCCAUAGGGACCUCUCCUUGCCCCUUUCCUUUCCAGGUUUAAUCUGCUGUUUGAUUUCAUCUCUGGAUGAGAAGCAGCUCAGGCCUCAGUGCAGCAUUAAGGAUGCACAGAACCACUGAGGGCUGUUGCUCCAGCAUCCACUGUUGGCCUCGAGGCUCCAAAACAUCCCCCAGACGUUGCCCAGGGGACUAUAAAUUUGCUUCUAUCUCUCCGGACUUUGAAGGACAGACAUUUUCUCUUAAAUAGACCUUCUCUGUUUUCAUUCCCUUAUUUAUCUGGAGCUGACACUUUAACGCAGUUGGAAGCAGCCAGGCACUAAAAACAAAGAGAAAACCGAGUCCUUGACUUCUUCUGAGACUCGCAGCCUGUGUUUAAGGAGAAAAAAAAAUCCAACAAACAUAGAAAGUGCUUUUACAGAUUUGUCUCUUUGGCUUUUCUAAAACAUCAAACAGAGCAAAGACUGGCGGGUUCUUCUAUUUCAUGAGAUCCUAAAAAAAAAAAAGAAUAAAAAUAUUAAAGGAAAGAAGCCAAGGAACAAAAGAAUCAGUGCAUGAGGUGCUCCUUCGGUUUCUUGGGAAAAUGUGCUGUGAGGCUCGAGACGGCUUGUCUGCAUUGCAAACCUUCACUUUGGGCUUUUGAAACACAUUUAACUACAUACUUGACCCUUUGUGCGGAUAAUGUGCCUCCAAAAAGAAGCGAGGGAAGGAAGGAAGAAAAGAACUGGUUUUGCUCCUAUUAUCUUCAAAGACCGCAGCAUUUCUGCAGGGCUGCUGGGUGAGCUGGGGGAAGGCUCAGCCUCCUCCCUCCCCGCUGCUGGGAGCUGUGCCCUGGCUCUGGGGGGCUCCGUUCCUUCCCAACCGCUCAGUGCACCUCAUUGCAGUGGGCAAUGAGCUCAGCGGAAACCGUUCCAAAGGCUGAAAUCAAGGCCUUCCACUUCACGUUCAAGUACUGCAUAAGGCAAAAGUCAGUACCAGGGGAGAGUGGUAAGAUGUCCAGACAUCCAGAAACACUCUGAGCCAGGUGGGGUAAACGACAGCACUUCCUAUGGCGAUUUCUCCAUCCUGGGGAGCUCUGCAUGGCUGCAGCCUGCUUGCUCUGCUCCGGCACAGCGCGGACUGCGGGGGCACGGGGCUGUAAGGCCCGAGCACAGAGGUGGUGACGGUGCUGCUGUCAGCAUAGGCAGCAAGGUCAGGAAUGAGGGCGAUGAGCAGAGACGGGGGCAGCUGUGGGAGCCAACCGCAGCUUGAAAAUACUCAGAAAGCAGACUGGGUGUUGGUUUGGCAAACAGUGCCCUCAUCAUCCCAGCACGCCUCGCCAUCCCCUCUCACAUCGGUGAGGAACACAGACUGCAACACACAGCUGAUGGCUCAGCCUCUCAGAUAAGGACUUGGGGCAUUUAUUUCAAGCAGUGAGUUCUGAAGCUCUGAAGCCCAGAAGAGGAAAACGAAGCGGGUCCUGAGCAUGAAGAGUGGCUCACGUGGGCCCUUCUGUUGGCACCAUGUGAGCCUGGCGCAGGCAUGCAACAGGCGCAGAGCUGCGGCCGAACGCGUCCCGACUGCCAGCUGGACUUCAACCAGACAGCCAAAGGUGAAAUCUUAUCUCCAUGCCUGAGAGAAAACAGGAGGAGAUGCAGAUGGUCCCAAUAAACCAUUGCAGGAAACAAAGUACGCUUGAUAAGGAGCAAGGGAAAAGGAGGACAAGAAUUCCUAAUGUCAGUGAUUGUGUUAAAGACUUUGACCAUACCUUAUGGGAAACUGCAAAGUUAAAAUAUAAAUAAACUGACUUUAAAACCUCAAUAUUGCAACAGUGGUGGCUGAGUUGAAUUUAAAUUACCUCCUGUA
ensembl:lncRNA